rnacentral:rRNA from 1 species
AUUGAACGCUGGCGGCAGGCCUAACACAUGCAAGUCGAACGGUAGCACAGAGGAGCUUGCUCCUUGGGUGACGAGUGGCGGACGGGUGAGUAAUGUCUGGGAAACUGCCCGAUGGAGGGGGAUAACUACUGGAAACGGUAGCUAAUACCGCAUAACGUCGCAAGACCAAAGAGGGGGACCUUCGGGCCUCUUGCCAUCGGAUGUGCCCAGAUGGGAUUAGCUAGUAGGUGGGGUAACGGCUCACCUAGGCGACGAUCCCUAGCUGGUCUGAGAGGAUGACCAGCCACACUGGAACUGAGACACGGUCCAGACUCCUACGGGAGGCAGCAGUGGGGAAUAUUGCACAAUGGGCGCAAGCCUGAUGCAGCCAUGCCGCGUGUAUGAAGAAGGCCUUCGGGUUGUAAAGUACUUUCAGCGAGGAGGAAGGCAUUAAGGUUAAUAACCUUAGUGAUUGACGUUACUCGCAGAAGAAGCACCG